CCCCCCCUAAGUUCAAGAAAAUGGGAAAAAGGAAAAGGGGGUGGAGACAUGUGCUGCACACUCCCCUAACUUCUCUUGAGCCUGCUGCAUUCUCGCACCCCAACAAUACAGCCCUCCUCCCUUUUUACCUCUCUUUGCAAACAAGAACUUCAUUCUCAUUCCACACUAAGGUUUCUAGCAAAACAGGAAGGAGCUCUUCAUUCGGUGCCCUGCCAAGUUCAAGGUGAGACCUUGUGUAAAUUCGUC
rnacentral:lncRNA from 1 species